UCGGCUUUUAUUAAAAAGGGACACGAGAUUUUUUUUUGUCACUUUCAGCAUGGUCGAUUUUUUUGUUUGGCAAACGUCGAAUGUUUGAUUGAUGGUUGACAAACACAACACGUAUCCAAGCAGUUAUUUAAUUUUUAGUAAAUUGAGUAUUAUAUGGUACAACAUUGCGGUUACGAUAUUAAUUUAUAAGUUAUUGUGCUAUGGUGGGGUGUUGUAUUUUAGGCUGCAAAAGCCGCAGUGAGCGGAAAAUCGAAGGAAUUACAUUUCAUUAGUUAUUUGUGUGCCAAAAUUUGGGGAAAUCUGUUUAGUAGUAUUUGCUGAAAGAUUACAACAAACACACACUCACGAACUUUCACAUCUUUAGUAUCAAAAAAGAUCAGCUGAAAGUUUAAAAGCCUGUGCUCCUACCAUAG